CUUACUCACCUGUCAAUGUAAGAGGUUCUACGUGGGUAAAACCAAAUUACCAUUCUUUAAGCGAGCUUCCCGGCAUUUACAUGCCAUGCGUUCGGCCAACCCAGACUUACCACUAGGGCGCCACAUCUUGUCUCAACAUAAUGGACUUUUCUCAGGGGUUAAAUUUUUAAUCCUCGAUAGGAUCCAUCCAAGCCCCAGAGGUGGGGAUUGGAAUAAGAUCCUCUUGCAGCAUGAAACUCGGUGGAUUGCCGAAUUAGAGGCCAAUCUUCCACCGGGCCUCAAUGAGCAGAUCAGCUUUAGGCCUUUUUUGGAAGGUUUCUCCUCCGGGGGUUGUGAAAAAGAAUGACCAAGACCACUCUAUAUUUCGAGGACCUUAUGUCACCGAUUGUCUCCUUUCAUUACCCCCUUCUCCACUCUGUCAUUUGCCCAUGUCAGUAAUACAUACUGGAUUUUCCCUGUAUUUAUCACCAUGCCCAUUCAUCCCUCAGUACACCCCCUGGGGAUUCGCGUUCGAAGCGCAUUUUGGCUUGACUGGCAUCUCCCUUAUUGUCACUCCUUAGCUGGGCGCACGUAAGCCGUCUGUCCUCCUUCCAUGGGAGACGGCUUUUUUGACCUGGUCCCCAUGCACCUUUUGGUGUCUUUGACCAUGGGUCUAUACCUGCGCCUAUAACAGGGGCAGGGAUCACACAGUGGACAUUUUUCGUGCCCCUGUUUUUUCCUUUUUGCCCCUGGACCUUUUGGCCCACGUGUCCCCAUUCUUGCAUAAUUAUAAUAUCCUUUUAAUACAACAUCUUCUUAGAUUGCUGUCCCUUUAAUUUUAUGGCUGAGCAUACCUGUACACAAAGAUACUGUAUAUACAAACCCCUGCUUGCAUUGAGCAGCAACCGUGCUUACAAAUCACUCUAUAACAAAAACAUUUAUUUGCAUCUUGCAUUUCCAAUCCUUCUUACUACUUUUUCCCUAGCUGACCCUUUUUAUACCCUUCUCCUCCUGUACUAGUAAUGGUCAUGCCCCCUUUAUUAUACGUUUCUUAUUCUCCAACAUGCAACCAACUAUUCUGCAUAUUCUCCACCCCCGUGUCAGGUGAUCUUCCUGGUCACUUGCCAUGUUUUUUUUUUUUUUUUUUUUCUCCCUGCACGUCAUUAGUGCGGGCUCCCACAUGAUGAGAGCAGGGCUUACCUGUCCCUCCCCUCUCCCCACUUGGAGGCAACGCCCCCUUUUCCACACUGACCCAUAGCAACGCAGGCUCCUUUACAGACCCCUCCCACCUUACUCCUCCCCCUCUCCUAUUUAAAAGCCAAGCAGCCCCACAAUGUCAGACAUUGCUGGAUGGCUGCAGCAGCUGUACACACUCUACACUGCUUGUGUUUUCUUCCCAUCUUCCGAUCCCUCUACUGACCUCUCUGGCCACUUUUUGUCAUUACAGGUAAAAAUAUAUAUAUAUACAAUCAAUAAACUUUUACGCUGUGACACUUCGGGCCAAAGGUCUUGCUACGCUGUGAUUGAUAUUAGAUGCCAGUCCUCACUCCUCUCCUUACCAUCUGAGGCUUGCCAUGCGUCCCGAUUGCGAUGUCCUUUUAAGGGGUGUGCUGAGCCGUUGAAACUUCUCGGGUGAAAAGUUGUCUGUUACACUUUCUGACUCCACACAUACUUC